rnacentral:rRNA from 1 species
CCUGAUGACCAUAGCGAGUCGGUCCCACCCCUUCCCAUCCCGAACAGGACCGUGAAACGACUCUACGCCGAUGAUAGUGCGGAUUCCAUCCCGAACAGGACCGUGAAACGACUCUACGCCGAUGAUAGUGCGGAUUCCCGUGUGAAAGUAGGUAAUCGUCAGGC